CAUUUGUUAGUUGGUUUAUAGAAGCGAUAUCCAAAAGUUAUUUUAAGGAUAUCCUACAAGAUUGUUAUCAAACGAAUAUUGCUUAUUAGCACACAACCCCAAAUCUUUAACAUGCUUAAGAUUUGUCUUUUCUUUCCAACUACAUCUUAUGGAGUCAUGAAAAUAUUGGAAGAUCUUCUCAUCGACAAUCAUAUUGUUUUUAGAAGUAUAUAUCCUAUAUAUGGGUAAUAGAUAACAUUUAACGAACUAAAUCUUAUUCGAGUUCGUUCUUCUCCUAAUGGAGAAAUACAUUAUCUUAUGAUGCUAUUUUCCUU
rnacentral:lncRNA from 1 species